GCAGGCUGUUGUAACAGGCUGGCAAUGGUUAUCUAAAACAACCCUAUUCUGUUAGCAGGUGUUGAGCCUGAUGGGAAAGGGUUAUAUGAGCUCUGUUGACUCACUGAAGCAGGUGACUUCCAUCAUCUGGAUAUAAGUGAGGUGAAUUGCUGGACCUGCCAAGAAACUGUUAUGAGGAUCAGUAAUAUUGCAGGACAAGCUGCCUGGUUUUGGUGACAAAAAUAAAUACAUCACUCUCAGUCGAAUCGGAGUGUAAACUCCUCGCAGAGCCUACUCGUCCUUCCUUUCGGACUCUCUGCAGGCAGCAGUGUACGCCAGACUUUGCACCGGGAACAAACGGAAAUCUGUCCUUGAGUAGUAUAAAUACAACGCCAGCGAAGCAAACGCUGCACUCCCGAAAUCGCGCCCCCUCCCAACCCCGGGCUUAUUUACAUGAACGUGAGCAAAAAAGUAGCCUAUACCUGUCCCCAUGCGCCAGGCCAGCGGCUAUGGGGAGGGGGCUGUUUCUGGAACUACCUUAAGCCUCCAUCUAAACAGAAUGGUACGUUGGGUGACGGGAGCUGGGGACAGAUCCCCUAAACUUCCGGUUCUGCAACUUCUCAUGAUGAUGCUGAUACUGACCAAGCUGGAAGAAAUGACUUACAGCGCUUUGGAGCCCGGCAGUGCCCUCUCUGUCUGUCCCC